AGACACUUUCACUUUCUUUUCACACUAAAAUUGGAACAAUACAGAGAAGAUUAGCAUUGCCCCUGCUCAAGGAUGACACAAAUUUGUGAAGCGUUCUGUAUUUUU
ensembl:snRNA U6 U6 spliceosomal RNA